AUGUAUACAAAGUUCAUUGGGUUGGUCUUACAAAGUUUCAAAAAGAAUCAAACAUGUCCUAACAUCAAAAUUCAAUAUCAGAAUAACAGAGUUCUCACUGCUUUUAUUGCACACUUGAACAGAACAUGAUUUUUUGUAAAUAUAAAUAAAAUUAAUGGUUCUAUUUUCAGUUUUAAGAGUAAAUUGCUUCAGAAUGUUUGCUUUGAAUUGAUUCAUGCCACAAAAUAAGGUCAUUAUUGUUAUUUACUUAGCAUGAGAUAGAAGAAGAAGAAGUUACUUAGCACAAACACAAUUAGAUUAAGGACAGAUCUUUACAAAAACUUUUCUGUCUGUCUGGUACAAAUUUUAAUACAUGUUUUUUCUCACACUUCCCUUUUCAGAUCAAGUUGAGAACUUUGCGCAAUUACUCAUUUUCCUUAACAAAAUAUGAAUCAGUGAUGCCCAAAAUACGGCCCUGGCCUGUGACAUGGUUCCAUAUGGCCCGCAAUUUGGUUCCAUAUGGCCCGCCAAAACGUUAGCACAAGGUGAAGAAAAUUCCCACCCUCAAAAAAAAAAGGUUGAAAAAUAUAUCUUUUAUCUACUUUAGGGCCCUCACUAUUUUUCUAAUGGAUUGGUACCAUGACCUUAUACAUUUGUGUGUUUAUGAAAUGGAAUUCUGAAUGUAGAAUCUACCAGGAAAAGUGAACAUGAUUUUUACUUUUUUGUGGAACAUGUUAUAAGCCAUUAAGCCAACAUAUUUGUUUUCUAAAAAAAAAAGUGUGACUUUAAAAAAAAU